rnacentral:rRNA from 1 species
UACGUAGGGUGCAAGCGUUGUCCGGAAUUAUUGGGCGUAAAGAGCUCGUAGGCGGUCUGUCGCGUCGGCUGUGAAAUCCCGGAGCUCAACUCCGGGUCUGCAGUCGAUACGGGCAAACUGGAGUACUGCAGGGGAGACUGGAAUUCCUGGUGUAGCGGUGGAAUGCGUAGAGAUCCGGAAGAACACCGGUGGCGAAGGCGGCCUGCUGGGCAGUUGCUGACACUGAGGCGCGACAGCGUGGGGAGCAAACAGG